GCCUUCUUUUCUUUUGGGACUUUCUCAACAUAUGGUUCAUUGUAGUUGCCUGAUGCUCUUCUAAAAAAGGUUGGAUCAGAAUAUCUCUUUAAACAAGAUCCUGGGCCACCAGUAUCAAAUUUGUCAAGCAAGUGUAAGCGUGGAGGAUCACGACAUUCUUCAUAAGAGUCCAUAAUAAAUCGAGGCAAGUCAUUAUAGAUAAAAUGGUUUUGUCCAUUAUGAAUACGAGAACGCCAG
rnacentral:misc_RNA from 1 species